GACGAACGCUGGCGGCGUGCUUAAAACAUGCAAGUCGAACGGACUUCUCAUGAAGCUUGCGAUUGAGAAGUUAGUGGCGGACGGGUGAGUAACGCGUGGGCAACCUGCCCCUGAGCCCGGGAUAACAGUUCGAAAGGACUGCUAAGACCGGAUAUACUUGCGGGGAAGCAUUUCACUGCAAGGAAAGGGAACGCUCAGGGAUGGGCCCGCGUCCCAUUAGCUAGUUGGUGAGGUAACGGCCCACCAAGGCGACGAUGGGUAGCCGGCCUGAGAGGGUGAACGGCCACGCUGGGACUGAGACACGGCCCAGACUCCUACGGGAGGCAGCAGUUGGGAAUCUUCGGCAAUGGGCGCAAGCCUGACCGAGCAACGCCGCGUGAGUGAUGAAGGUUUUCGGAUUGUGAAGCUCUGUCUUCCGGGACGAUAAUGACGGUACCGGAGGAGGAAGCCACGGCUAACUACGUG
rnacentral:rRNA from 1 species